GAUAAACGCUGGCGGCGUGCAUGAGACAUGCAAGUCGAACGAAGGAUCGGGCUUGCUCGAUCCUUAGUGGCGGACGGCUGAGUAACGCGUAGGUGACCUACCCCGAAGUGGGGAAUAACUGCCCGAAAGGGUGGCUAAUACCGCAUGUGGUCGCACGUUCAUUCGUGCGAGUAAAGCCGCAAGGCGCUUCGGGAGGGGCCUGCGUCCGAUUAGCUCGUUGGUGGGGUAAUGGCUUACCAAGGCGACGAUCGGUAGGUGGUCUGAGAGGACGAUCACCCAGACUGGGACUGAGACACGGCCCAGACUCCUACGGGAGGCAGCAGUCGGGAAUUUUGCUCAAUGGGGGAAACCCUGAAGCAGCAACGCCGCGUGAGGGAUGAAGGCCUUCGGGUUGUAAACCUCUUUUGUCAGGGACGAUGAUGACGGUACCUGGCAAAUAAGCCACGGCUAACUACGUG
rnacentral:rRNA from 1 species